ensembl:lncRNA
GCCACAUCACAACAACAAUGCGCUACUUCUCUCGGUUUUCCCCAGUCUCGCUCUCAAUCUCUUGCUCUCCCACACACAGAUCUACCUACAGGGCACCUCCGAGCACAACAUGAUUAUCAGGGGGAAACAAGUCAGGUAGGGAUGACCAGACGUACAGUACCUGUUUUCUGGCUUUUGGUGUCCCGUCCCUGACUGGAGCUGUCCCUGUUUUACAGUACAUUUGUACAUUUAAAACACCACAAAUAGGAUGCUGGUUACCAGAGCAAUCGUACCGGAAUAAGCUGCUUGAAUGGAUACUUAAUCUCCGCACCCCAACCGGCGUCCCGUAUCACACAGCAAGUGUCUUGUAGCGAUGUUAGAUCUUUAGAAGAUGAUAACUUUAUUAAUCAGGUGCACUGAUAAAUUCCCAGACAUGAUGUAAAAGCAGCCAAUCAGAUUUUCAGAGCUGCUGUUUUCAACCAGCUCUUCCCAUUCUUGGUGCAACAUGAGGUCAGUGAUUGGUGUGAUGCCUCGGGCUAACAAUGUUUUGACAGUGAAU